GAUGAACGCUGGCGGCGUGCCUAAUACAUGCAAGUCGAGCGAAUGGAUUAAGAGCUUGCUCUUAUGAAGUUAGCGGCGGACGGGUGAGUAACACGUGGGUAACCUGCCCAUAAGACUGGGAUAACUCCGGGAAACCGGGGCUAAUACCGGAUAACAUUUUGAACCGCAUGGUUCGAAAUUGAAAGGCGGCUUCGGCUGUCACUUAUGGAUGGACCCGCGUCGCAUUAGCCAGUUGGUGAGGUAACGGCUCACCAAGGCAACGAUGCGUAGCCGACCUGAGAGGGUGAUCGGCCACACUGGGACUGAGACACGGCCCAGACUCCUACGGGAGGCAGCAGUAGGGAAUCUUCCGCAAUGGACGAAAGUCUGACGGAGCAACGCCGCGUGAGUGAUGAAGGCUUUCGGGUCGUAAAACUCUGUUGUUAGGGAGGAACAAGUGCUAGUUGAAUAAGCUGGCACCUUGACGGUACCUAUCCAGAAAGCCACGGCUAACUACGUGCCAGCAGCCGCCGUAA
rnacentral:rRNA from 1 species